rnacentral:rRNA from 1 species
UACGGGGGGAGCAAGCGUUGUUCAGAUUUACUGGGCGUAAAGGGCGCGUAGGCGGCCACCGCAAGUCGACUGUGAAAUCUCCGGGCUUAACCCGGAAAGGUCAGCCGAUACUGCGGGGCUAGAGUGCAGAAGGGGCAACUGGAAUUCUCGGUGUAGCGGUGAAAUGCGUAGAUAUCGAGAGGAACACCUGCGGCGAAGGCGGGUCUCUGGGCAGUAACUGACGCUGAGGAGCGAAAGCGUGGGGAGCGAACAGG